GUGUGUGUGUGUGUGUGCGUGUGUGUGUGUGCGUGUGUUCUGCAGGAGGAUGUUGCGCACUUCACUUUUCCUCAGCAGAGGAAGAGUACAUGCAUCUGGAAUACAAACAAAAAUGGCGUCAGUCUGUUCGUUUAUCUGACUGCUUCAGAGGGGAAUGAAGCUGGGACACUUGCAUCCUCAGAGAGAGCCAUUCAUAUUCACUGCACACAGGUAACUACAGAAACACAUCCAAUAAAACACUGACACCUAAAACAUAUUUUAGCAUUAAUGUAAAUGUAGGUGCAUUUAGAAGCUCUGUUUCCUAAUCCAUCCCUAAACAAAGGAGGUUGUGGGUCAGUGGUUAGUGCGCUGAUCUUCGGAUCACAGGGGCACUGGGUCGAAUCCCACUGCAGUCAACAUUCCGCUGUGUCCUUGGACAAGACACUUCACCCC